rnacentral:rRNA from 1 species
GUCUACGGCCAUGCCACCCUGAACACACCCAAUCUCUUCUGAUCUCAGAAGCUAAGCAGGAUGGGCCUGGUUAGUGCUUGGAUGGGAAACCAUUUAGGAAGACCAGGUGCUGUAGGCA